GGGUAGGUCUGCCCCCCUUGCCUGUUCCUACCCCCCGCACUCCCACCCUCUGCUGCCACUUCUCACUGACCAGCCCCAGCCUGGCCUCUACCCAGCUACAUUGCUGCUGACUGCAUGGAAGAACAGAGCUGCAGCAGAAGGCAUCAAAGGAAAACCAAAAUCGGCAACCUCUGCUGACAGGAUAUCAAGAUUCCCAGGCAACAUUACAAAAAAGUAAAAAGGGCCCAAGAGGUUUAGAAUCUGCAACAAGCACAAUUUUGGAAGUCUUCAAUUUUGGAAGUUUUCAGGACAUACUACAAGAUCCUUCUCUGUUUCAUGUUGUUCAGAGAAUAGGGAAGCUUCACUGCUUUUACUGGAGUUCUGUUAUUCAAAUAUGUAAUUAUUUGUAUUCUUAGUUUAAAUGGUUGCUCCAUUUAAAGUAGCAUAAGUACUCUAAUAUAUUUUUUGAAGUUAUUUAACAGGGUAAUCUAGAUAGAUAAAAUGUCUUAAACUCCCAGCUGUCUCAAGCUAAUCCCCUUUGUAUGCUAUAGUACCUUCCAAUACCUGGGAAGUGUUUCUUAAUGCAUGAUUAUUCCAUUGCUGAUUUUUAAAAACGGAUAGAGUAAAAUCUUUCUGCUAUUAUUUUAAGCUGUUCCAGACCUCUUAAUUUUCUAUGCAUGCAAUGGACUUUUAUGUUAGUCUUGUUUAGAAAAAUUAAAACAUUAAAUGCUAACCAGUGAUUGUGACAGCCCAUCAUUUAAAAACAGCAGCAAAAUACUGGUGCU